UCUCACCCUUCUGCCUGGGUUUUUUGCUCCAGCCUCUCUUGAAUACUGACGAGCCCCAGCUUUUGCUUUAUGCUGGUGAAGUUCUUCGCAAGCUUCACAUUCUCCCUGGUGACCUCAUUCACUCCUGUGGCUUGGAAUCUGUUUUAAUACCACUACAUUGGUAAUUCCCAAACACCUGUCUCUUGCUUUUCCAGAUAUUUAUUAAUUAAAAAUAUCCCUCUCCUUCUGCUUAGAGUUCUCAUCCUAUCUCCAGUAAAGUAAAACUUUAGUAAAGUGAACAUCGCCAGCCAGCUGGCAGAGGAUCCAUCCACUCCAGACUCCGAAUCAUUCUGGGUGCCAGCCAUCUCUUAAAUAUUUCCUAAAGUCAGAGGUGGAAUGCCUACGGCUUCCCAGGCUCUUGAGGUGAAAAGAGAAAAGAGGCAGAUGAGCAGGAAGGCCUCAGCAGUGAGGUGGUCCCAGCUGAAUGAAGAACCACAGCUUGAUCCCUGGGAGUUCAGACGCUUCAUAGAGCAGGUUCCAGCGAAAGCCUCUGCUCCAGAGGGGGUGGGGUGUGGCCACCCCUGUGAGGCAGCUCCCUAAGAACUCGUUGGUUUCAGCAACUAGCACAUGGACACACCAGUUGCCCAAAUUCAAUCACGCUGCAGAAUUUAAAUGCACUCUCCUAAUUACGCCAUUUACUCUUUUUGUGUUUUAAAAUUAUGUUUUUGUGCGUGUGUGUCUGUGUGUCUAUCUCUGUCUCUGUCUCUCUCUCUGUCUGUCUCUGUGUCUCUGUGUCUCUGUGUCUGUGUCUCUCUCUCUGUCUCUGUCUUUCUGUGUCUCUCUCUGUCUCUGUCUUCCUGUGUCUCUGUGUCUCUGUGUCUCUCUCUGUGUCUCUGUCUUUCUGUGUCUCUCUCUGUCUCUCUGUCUUUCUGUGUCUCUCUCUCUGUCUCUCUCUCUGUCUGUCUCUGUGUCUCUGUGUCUCUCUCUCUGUCUCUGUCUCUCUUUCUCUCUCUCUGUAUGUAGGUUAGAGUCAACUUGCAAACCGGGGUUCUCUGCCUCUGUCAUGGGUCCUGGGGAUUGACCUCAGGUCAUCUGGCUUAGCAGUAGGUGCUGUUAAUCUUUUUUUUUUUUUCUUUUUUUUUUUGGAGCUGGGGACCGAACCCAGGGCCUUGCGCUUCCUAGGCAAGCGCUCUACCACUGAGCUAAAUCCCCAACCCCCGGUACUGUUAAUCUUGCUGGCUCCUAGUUAACUUUUUCUGUUCUUGUGGUCAUUAUCUAAGUUAACAUCACAGCUUUCAGCUUUCUGCAAUACGACAACAGCUCUUGUGUCAUUGACUAGUUUAUUAUCUGUAUUAUUUGUCAGGCAAAUUCGUCUUUCUAAAAUCCCCAUCUUUUCAUGGUACCGUAUUUAUCGUUUCUUCCAUGAUUUGCAUGAUGUUUUAGAUUUUACUUGUUUGAGACAGGGUCUCACAAGCCCAGGCUGAUCUUGAACUCUCUAGCUGAGUGUCACCUUGAUCUUCAGAUCGUCCUGUUUCUAACUCCCAAAUAAUAGGACGACAGCUCUUCACUGGGUCCAGGGCUUCGUGCAUGCCCAGCAAGCACUCUGCCGGCAGGGCUACAUCCACAGCACAGCACAUUUGAAAUGACGGAAAAGACUGUGCGUGACUUUGGUUCCACUCAUCAAUUCUGGUGCACCCCGACUCUUCACUUCUUCAAGCCACAGCAGCACUUGGGAUUUUCGUUCUGCGGCAGCAUCGUGACUCUGUCAACACACACUCUCCUCUGCUUCAGCCCCUCUUCCACCUCUCACCAACUGUCUUUACCUUCAUUUUUACAACUUAUCAUGCGUCCUUUAUACACCCACCUUCUUUGCUCCAGACUCCCAUAAUUCUUUUUACCUCCUCGUCCUCUUAUCACGUGGGCUGUGUCUCUUAUGACCAUGCCGAGUCUCUGUCUUCUUGAACCUUCUUCGUCUCUGGUAGCUCUUUAACUACAUUUAACUCCUUCUUCUCUGUGUGCCCUUCCUCAUCUCUUCCCUUUCACCAUUUCCUGUGUUUUUAAAGAUGAUUUUUCCUUUCAUUUCCUCUUCUCUAGUAGUUUAGCAAGAGCUCAUUUACUUAUCUGUGGUUUAACAGCAGGGAUUAAUUAACUGCUGGUCUACCUGAGUCCCAGGCCUGCCAGCUUCAGGGAUGGCGCGUCCAUUUCUUAUCACUGUAUUACCAGGGCCUAGUGUGUGGACAGAGCUGAAUGGAAGUUUCCUUGUCUGAGCUAAUAAAUAAGUAAUGACAAUGCCCUGGCUCUUCUGCCUGUUCUGAGUGCUAGCACCUGUGCCUUCCUCACAGGAAAUGCUUAAUCAACAUGGGUGUUUGAUUUGGUGUCUGUGUGCUCAUAGUUGUAUGUGCUGUGGUGUGUGUGUGGUGUGUGUGUGUGUGCGUGUGUGUGUGUGUGGUGUGUGUGUGUGCGUGUGUGUGCAUAUGCAGAUGCAUCCCAGAGGAGGGGAGGCUGGGAAUCAAACCCGACACCUCACGUACGCCAGGCAAGCCUCCAGCCUGGGCAGAUAGUGUUCUCCAUUGUUAGAAUGCUUUCUCUGCCAAGCUCGGGUCCAUCCGGAUCCAGAGUCUUGGAGCAGAGCGUGACUUUAGUGGAUGAGGUUGGGCAGGACUUGAACAGUCCCCAGAAGGACUUCUUCAGCUUCCACCUUACUAGACCUGAGGCUCAGAGUAAGCCUAGCGGAGGGGUGACUGGGGCACAAAGCCAUGGGCGAGGACCGACAGUGGGUGGUGGUGGGCUGGGGCAUGUCUUGCUUUUGUGUUUGUUUCACCUCCUGGCAUUUUAGGGAAUUUCUGAUAAAAUGUCUAAACACAAAGGACAGAAACUUCCACACAAAAUGUCAUACAUAGCCUUUGCAAAAAAAAAAAAAAAAGCUUGAAAAAUUUCAAAACAACUGUAUGACUAUGGCUUUCAAUGAGGGGAGAUUUUAUUUCCAGAGUUAUUACAUUAUCAUAAUCAAAUGCUCAUUUUUCUUCAACUAAAUCACAAGACACAUGAAGAGGCAGCAACAAAUGCCAUGUCUCCUCCCCACCGAGUUAGCCAGCCAUCUACCAAAGACUUUUGAACAAGUGUCACUAAUGUAGUUAAAGAACUACCAGAAAACCUGGGUGGAGAACAAAGGGGGGGUCAAGAGAAGAAGAAGAUUAACAGCAAGGUGGAAAAUUAUGAAAAGGGACUGAACAAAAUAUAAAAUACAUGGCUAAGAUAGAAAUUUUCGAGUAGAAAAUUCACCAGCGGAAAACCCAGCAGAUCACAGCAGACGGAGAAAGAGCAGCAAGGAAAGCUGAAGCCGAAAUCCCGCCGCCAGUCUGUGUACCAGCUUAGUGUAGUGUGGUCACCCAGGGAAAGAGUGAGAGAGUUCCGGGAAAACACUGCUGGAAGUGUUCACACUUCAGGAGAGACGGCAUCAACACACCAUGGGAAAUGCCAUACGAAACCGUAAGAUGAGAACUUGCCAUCUAGCGAACCUUAUUCCUAAAGAAAUACAGAGUAAUCCUGUCUGCAUAGCCAUAUUGAUUGACCCGAAGCUGGCUUUGCAACCCUUUCAGCAUCACCCACCACGGCGGCCGGACUGGAACAGUAAGACAUCACCAUGCUGUUCUCUCUCUCCUUGCCUGCUUCAGUCUUCACACGGCCUCAUCUGGCAAUCUUGAACUCUAUGUCUUUGAGGGGUUUUCUCUAAUGUUAAUAAACUGUCUUCCCUUAAGUGGCAAA